GGGCGGCUCGUGACGUGUCUUCGGCACUGGCGUGGCAGGUCUGAUCAAUUUCUGAGAGCCGGGAGUCCUUUCCAAAUAUAAGAGGAAUAAAGAAAUCACUUCCCCAGCUGUCAUCAUCUUCCAGCAAAUUGAGCAAGAAUAUUCCGAGCACUACAGAAAAGGUGAUGUAAACUUUGAAGGAGAAACGUGUCUCGAUUUGCUUUUUGUUUGUUUGGGGUGUGUGUGUAUCACACUAUUUAUUACUACAUGUCUGUUUUUCAGACGGUCCGUCGAACCCUAGAUGAUGAUGAGCCGUGUAUUUUUUUCAAGAAGGGGAAUAGGGUGAAUGAAUCUUAUGAGAAAAACAGCACCAUGAAUGCUGAGCCAUCUUGGAGGAAAGUACAACAUGUAAAGAACUCUUCAGGAAAAAGACAGAAUAAACCCCAAGUCCCCCGCAUUUCUUCCCAGCUGAAAAGCAGCCUCGUAGCGACCUCCCAGCAGGCUGAGGAUGAACCUCCAGAAAGCACUUACCCACAAGGAAAGCUUGGAAGGAGUCCGCUCAGUCCCAGGUGUCAGGGGGCCUCAGGGAACAAACUGUUUCUGGACUUUGAGUCCAUGAGGAUUUUUAAAGAGGAUGCUGAUGAGGACAGUGGAAGUGACCUCUCGGACUCAGAGAGAAUUCCCAUCCACACUUCGCCUCUCACCCCGCCGGAUCUUCAGCUCAGAGCUGAAGAGAUCAAUCCAGCCUGUUUCCGUCGUUCCCCAGAUCAAGACCACUCAAAGCCUGGAUACUGUUACCCUGAUUUUCUCCCACCCCCCUUCAACUCCUGGAACCUACAGGAUAUGGCCGUGCUUCUGAACUCGGAGGGCAAGCUGGACGCCGUGCCCCGAGCAGGAGGACUUCUCAGGAGGUACAUCAAUCGGCUUGUUCAGCUCGAGUGGCUGCAGAUCCAGACCGUGCAGACUGAGAAAGGGAAGGGGGCCAAAACAAGGCCGCCAGUUGCCCCUGGAACCUCCUGGGCCCUGAAGAGCCCCAGGAGAAGGAAGCUCAUUGCUGCUGCUCUACCCAAGCCACUACCUCAGCAGGAAGGGGCUUCGAAGCCAGGUCCUUCACAAAAGAAGGAUUUGCGCCAGGAAGACACCUGUCGGUAUGUCGCAUUUCAGACCUCCCCCAGACCUGCGGACGCCCGGGGUAGCAGCAGGUCAUGUUCAAAGAAGCAGGUCCUGGAAGUGAGGAGGGAGGGGAAGAAAAGGAAGAUAGGUAAGGGCACCGAGCUGCAGCGUCUGGGUUUGGUGUGCGGUGACGAGCUGCAGCGUCGGGGUUUGGCGUGCGGUGACGGCAGCUCCAGGAUUCACACCAGCGGAGAUCUCGGAAUCCCCAAACCCUCAGGCAUGAUUCUUGACUUGGCAGUCCCCUGUAAGGCCCCCGGAACACAAGCACACGCACAUCUCAAGAAAAAGGGAAACGCCAGUAAUGGCAGUCGUGCCAAUACAUCCAGUGAGAAAAACCUUGAAACCAACGGCGUAAAGCAAAGCACAGAUAAAUUCGAAUAACAGAUGAAAUGAUGAAUUGUGAAGACCCAUGGGUAUUCAAAUAUAGAGUGCUUCCAAAGUUACAAUACUGUGACUUUUAAGACAUUUUAUGGUGACUGGCAUUGGAGUAGUUGAUUGGUUCUUUAUUCCACUCACUACCCCCAGCAGCCCUGGUGGUGUAGUGGUUAAGCACUUGGCUGCUAACCAAAAGGUCACCAGUUGAAUCCACCAGCUGCUCCUUGGAGAGCCUAUGGGGCAGUUCUCCUCUGUCCUAUAGGGUUGCUAUGAGUCAGAAUCUGACUCCACAUUGGCAACAGGCUUUUUUUUUUUAAACCCCCAAUAGGGUGGUUUUCAAAGAGAGGUGCCUUUCAAUAAGCCUUUCUUUGUAGUAACAGUCUUAAGCAAAUGAGAGCCCUUUCAAUAAAAAUUAACCAACUUAGGUGUCAUAUAAAGAAAGGGGCAGGAAGAUGACUUUCCAGGCAGCCUCAAGGAAACACAAGUAUCAGCCUGCAUUUCUUUGUAGAACAGAGCUAAGUAAAUUUUAUCUCCUGAUACUCGCUUGCGCAUGAGUAGGUAACAUAGUACGUGUGAUCUUCAAUGGGGUACAAUCCUCAACAUUUGGAAUAGUAGUGCUUCUCGGCCAUCCUCUCCCCCAUGCCCUUGCUUUUGUAUCAGCUAUUCAAGCAUGAUUUCUAUCCAUUUCACCCCUAAGAGAAGCUUCCGCUCUCCCUCAAGUGCAGGAGUAGGGCAGGGGAGUUUUUAUAUGGAAGUGAAGUCAUGCAUGUAUCACUAAACUGCUUGCUCUUUAGAGCCAGUGGAAUCUAGUGCUUUAAUAUCUUUCCCCUUACCCCGUGUUUUUGUUUUUAAGACGUUUUACAUUUAGAGAUGGUUGGGGAGGUCCAUUUUUGAGUUCUCUAAACUGAUGUUAAAAUAAUUUGCAGACGUUUUCCAGUUGAAAAGUCAGUGGGUUCAAGCAUGAUCAUUGCUGUUUAGUGAGAAUGAAAUAUUUGACACAUUAGAAUUUCUGGAAUGUAUGGUUUCCGCGAUGGUUUCCUUAAAGAGGAGCCACGGGAAAAUCACUUUUCAGAAUUUGUAAACGAAGAGCCUAUAAUAGGAUAAAACCACAUGGAACCACUUUACAUGGGACAGUUAUUAAGUUACAGAUUUGGGGCCUGGGGCCUGAUGUCUUUGGUUAAAAAUUAUAUAGUUUUCAAGAACAGGAUUUAACAACUCCCUUUUUUUUGGGGGGCUGGAGGGAGGAUUUCAGGGGCCAUUUCAGGAUGGAGGGGGGACUCUGAAUCAAGUUAAUGAAUAUGGUUUUAACAUCCUUAUCUGGUCCUCUAGCUUCCUAGCUCUCUGAAGUGCUUCUCAUUUCAUUGCAGUUAAUAACAUCUGCUUGCUUCGCCAGUUGUGCGGUGAGCUUUCUGUUGAGACUUGUGAACAUCUUUCAAAAACUUUGGUCGGCUACUACUUGAUAUGCAGUAUAUUUUAAUGACUGUCGUUAAUUUUAUCCCUUCAAACAAUAAUUCCAUUUGUUUUCUACGUACACAUUUCUAUUUUUAUGUUUUUUGGGGGCAAACGACCCUUGACAUUUUUUAUUUGAAAGUGUAUAUUUUGCAAACUUCUCACACAGUGGUAAAUGUCACCAAAGGCCCUUUAGAAGUCACCAGCAUAACAGGACAAGAUGCAUUUAUAAUUAAAAUAAUGUGCAAAGGGGUGAUGUUAAGAUCCCUUUUAAAAUCUGAUAUUAAUCGUACAAAGCAAGGUAGGAGAUUUUUUUGGAUAACCUUUUCUUCCAGGACUUUAUUUCCCGAUCUUUACAGAUUCCCUCUGACAUUCUUUAUUUCUCACACCACCCUACUGGGCAGAGCCUGUGCUUACAAUAAGAUCUUACACCUUUUUAUGUGAGUGAAAGAUGUACAUACAGUAGGCGUUACUCCCAUAGUCCUCAAAUACACUGUAACUUUUGUACUCAGUAGACAUAUUGUAUUUGAAAAUGUUGCACGACUCUUUCCCUUCUGUGGUUCCUAAGCCCUUUAGCUUGUGAGGGCUGAGUUAGCCCAUCAUCCGUGCCUGCGCCUCACUGAGACAUUUCUCUGCUCGACUGUUACGCAGCUCUUCAUGGUGUUUCCUGGCUGAUGCAUCUUUGCGAGCAUGAUGUCACUACACCUGGACUCCUUGUAUUAACACUGAAAGGUUUACACUGAGCGGUUGCCUUUCCCAGGAAUGUGUCCUUGUGGCAAUCUCAGCAAUCCCGACUGGGUAAGGAAAAGAAGAGGAUUUGUGGUGGUUCUUGGACCUAUUAGGUUUGUUUCCAGAGAGACAUAAGAAGUUCUGGCUUCCAUGAUACAGGUAUUGUUUGUUUCCUCUUUUGUGAUAAUUUACUUGAGUAGUUACACAAAAAUACCAAACUCCUAGUGGUCCUGUAUGUCCAGUCACAGUGAAGCAGUAUUCACUAUUUGUUUAUGUACAGAGUACCAUUCCAAAUGGCCUGACAGUAUUCAGCACGUUUGUUAUUUGAUGUUAUAAUUAUUGUAUGUUUGGUUUUGCAUAUAAUAAAGCAGAAUACAUAUAAAUCUUGGCCAACUUGUGUUUUUACCUCUUUGUGGUCAAGGAAACAACAAAAGAAAAUACUGCCUGCUUUUUCUGGCACGGUUUUGUUUUACUUUUCAUGGAGUUCUUUUUCAGGAUUUGUUUUUAUUUUCUUCCUGGUUCAUUCAAUGAAGUGCUCAGGAUGAAAUUCUGUUCCUACUCUCCUGUCUUAAUUAUGAACAGUGUAAUGACAAUCACAGUUCAGCAUUCCUGGGUAUAUCCGAAAAACAUUGCCGUAAAUUUCACGUGUCCCUGUCUGCCUUCUUAACCCCAAAGUGUUGGGGAGGAGUGGUUAGAAGAGCAGAUGGAAAUGCAAUUAGCAUAAAAUUAAAAUAACGUGAUAAAAGUAACUUGUUCCUUAUUUAUCCGGAAAUGAGUGCUGUCCCUUUAGAAGAAGUC